AUACGUAGGUGGCAAGCGUUGUCCGGAUUUACUGGGUGUAAAGGGCGCGUAGGCGGGAUUGCAAGUCAGAUGUGAAAAUUAUGGGCUCAACCCAUAACCUGCAUUUGAAACUGCAGUUCUUGAGUAUCGGAGAGGCAGGCGGAAUUCCUAGUGUAGCGGUGAAAUGCGUAGAUAUUAGGAGGAACACCAGUGGCGAAGGCGGCCUGCUGGACGACAACUGACGCUGAUGCGCGAAAGCGUGGGGAGC
rnacentral:rRNA from 1 species